rnacentral:rRNA from 1 species
CCUACGGGUGGCAGCAGUGAGGAAUAUUGGUCAAUGGGCGGGAGCCUGAACCAGCCAAGCCGCGUGAAGGAAGAAGGCGCCAGGCGUCGUAAACUUCUUUUGUCGGGGAACAAAGGGCGCCACGCGUGGCGUUGUGAGUGUACCCGACGAAAAAGCAUCGGCUAACUCCGUGCCAGCAGCCGCGGUAAGACGGAGGAUGCGAGCGUUAUCCGGAUUUAUUGGGUUUAAAGGGUGCGUAGGCGGUCCGGAAAGUCAGCGGUAAAAGCCCGGGGCUCAACGGGGUGAAGUGCCAUUGAUACUGCCUUGCUGGAAGGCGGAUGCCGUGGGAGGAAUGUGUGGUGUAGCGGUGAAAUGCAUAGAUAUCACACAGAACACCGAUUGCGAGGGCAUCUCACGAAUCCGCGAUUGACGCUGAUGCACGAAAGCGUGGGUAUCAAACAGGAUUAGAUACCCUAGUAGUC